rnacentral:misc_RNA from 1 species
GAUGAAGAACGUAGCGAAAUGCGAUAAGUAAUGCGAAUUGCAGAAUUCAGUGAAUCAUCGAAUCUUUGAACGCACAUUGCGCCCGCCAGUAUUCUGGCGGGCAUGCCUGUCUGAGCGUCAUUGUCAACCCUCAAGCUCAGCUUGCUGUUGGGUCCCCGUCGUUGCUUUAACGGCGGACCCGAAAGGUAAUGGCAGAGUCCGUGAGACCCUAGACGCAGCGAGCUUCUAGCACGCGUCUGGACGUUUUUCGGGCUCGGUCUUAACUAGAUGAUAACUUCCGAUUGACCUCAGAUCAGGUAGGGAUACCCGCUGAACUUAAGCAUAUCAAUAAGCGGAGGA